rfam:Triticum aestivum genome assembly, contig: Triticum_aestivum_CS42_TGACv1_scaffold_343932_4DL
CAUGUACUCCUUCUGUCCGGAAAUACUUAUCCUAGAAUUGAAUAAAAUGAAUGUAUCUAUAAUUAAAAUAAUUCUAAAUACAUAUAUUUCGGAGACAAGUAUUUUCGGACGGAGGAAGUAUCUG